rnacentral:rRNA from 1 species
CCUACGGUGUGCAGCAGUGAGGAAUAUUUGUCAAUGGGCGAGAGCCUGAACCAGCCAAGUCGCGUGAAGGAUGACGGCCCUACGGGUUGUAAACUUCUUUUGUCAGGGAGCAAUUGAGUCCACGGUUGGUCUUAGCGUGAUUACCUGAAGAAAAAGCAUCGGCUAACUCCGUGCCAGCAGCCGCGGUAAUACGGAGGAUGCGAGCGUUAUCCGGAUGUAUUGGGUAUAAAGGUUGCGUAGGCGGAAUAUCAAGUCAGCGGUAAAAAUUCGGGGGUCAACCCCGUCGUGCCGUUGAAACUGAUGUUCUUGAGUGGGCGAGAAGUAUGCGGAAUGCGUGGUGGAGCGGUGAAAUGCAUAGAUAUCACGCAGAACUCCGAUUGCGAAGGCAGCAUACCGGCGCCCAACUGACGCUGAAGCACGAAAGCGUGGGUAUCGAACAGGAGUAGAUACCCCUGUAGUC